rnacentral:rRNA from 1 species
CGACCGCUGGCGGUGUGCUUACCACAUGCACGUCGAACGGUAAGGCCCUUUCGGGGGUCCACGAGUGGCGAACGGGUGAGUAACACGUGAGUAACCUGCCCUCAUCUCUGGGAUAACAGUCGGAAACGGUUGCUAAUACUGGAUAUGAGCUUGCAAGGCAUCUUGUGGGUUGGAAAGAUUUUUUUGGUUGGGGAUGGACUCGCGGCCUAUCAGCUUGUUGGUGAGGUAGUGGCUCACCAAGGCUUCGACGGGUAGCCGGCCUGAGAGGGCGACCGGCCACAUUGGGACUGAGAUACGGCCCAAACUCCUACGGGAGGCAGCAGUGGGGAAUAUUGCACAAUGGACGGAAGUCGGAUGCAGCAACGCCGCGUGCGGGAUGACGGCCUUCGGGUUGUAAACCGCUUUCAAUUGUGACGAAGCUUUUUGUGACGGUAGCAGUAGAAGAAGCACCGGCUAACUACGUG